rnacentral:rRNA from 1 species
UUGUGAGUUAAGCGACUAAGCGUACACGGUGGAUGCCCUGGCAGUCAGAGGCGAUGAAGGACGUGCUAAUCUGCGAAAAGCGUCGGUAAGGUGAUAUGAACCGUUAUAACCGGCGAUGUCCGAAUGGGGAAACCCAGUG